rnacentral:rRNA from 1 species
AGAGUUUGAUCCUGGCUCAGGAUGAACGCUAGCGACAGGCUUAACACAUGCAAGUCGAGGGGCAGCGGGGUAGUGCUUGCACUACUGCCGGCGACCGGCGCACGGGUGAGUAACACGUAUGGAACCUGCCCGCAGCAGGGGGAUAAGCGGAAGAAAUUCCGUCUAAUACCGCGUAACAACGUUGGGAGGCAUCUCCCGAUGUUUAAAGAUUUAUCGGCUGCGGAUGGCCAUGCGGCGCAUUAGCUAGUCGGCGGGGUAACGGCCCACCGAGGCGACGAUGCGUAGGGGUUCUGAGAGGAAGGUCCCCCACACUGGUACUGAGACACGGACCAGACUCCUACGGGAGGCAGCAGUGAGGAAUAUUGGUCAAUGGCCGAGAGGCUGAACCAGCCAAGUCGCGUGAGGGAAGACGGCCCUACGGGUUGUAAACCUCUUUUGUCGGGGAGCAAAGCGAACCACGUGUGGUUCAUUGAGAGUACCCGAAGAAAAAGCAUCGGCUAACUCCGUGCCAGCAGCCGCGGUAAUACGGAGGAUGCGAGCGUUAUCCGGAUUUAUUGGGUUUAAAGGGUGCGCAGGCGGAGGUGCAAGUCAGCGGUCAAAUUGCGGGGCUCAACCCCGUACUGCCGUUGAAACUGCAUCCCUUGAGUGCGCGAGAAGUAUGCGGAAUGCGUGGUGUAGCGGUGAAAUGCAUAGAUAUCACGCAGAACUCCGAUUGCGAAGGCAGCAUACCGGCGCGCAACUGACGCUCAUGCACGAAAGCGUGGGUAUCGAACAGGAUUAGAUACCCUGGUAGUCCACGCAGUAAACGAUGAACACUAACUGUUCGGCCAAAGUGAUGGCUGAGUGGUACAGCGAAAGCGUUAAGUGUUCCACCUGGGGAGUACGCCGGCAACGGUGAAACUCAAAGGAAUUGACGGGGGCCCGCACAAGCGGAGGAACAUGUGGUUUAAUUCGAUGAUACGCGAGGAACCUUACCCGGGCUCAAACGACACAGGCAUACUUUUGAAAGGAGGUAGCCCUACGGGGUCUGUGUCGAGGUGCUGCAUGGUUGUCGUCAGCUCGUGCCGUGAGGUGUCGGCUUAAGUGCCAUAACGAGCGCAACCCCUAUCGCCAGUUACCAUCAAGUAAAGUUGGGGACUCUGGCGAGACUGCCGGCGCAAGCUGUGAGGAAGGCGGGGAUGACGCCAAAUCAGCACGGCCCUUACGUCCGGGGCGACACACGUGUCACAAUGGCAGGUACAGAGAGAAGCCAGGUGGCGACACCGCGCGGAACUCGAAAGCCUGUCUCAGUUCGGAUCGGAGUCUGCAACCCGACUCCGUGAAGCUGGAUUCGCUAGUAAUCGCGCAUCAGCCAUGGCGCGGUGAAUACGUUCCCGGGCCUUGUACUCACCGCCCGUCAAG